rnacentral:rRNA from 1 species
GUACCCGCUGAACUUAAGCAUAUCAAUAAGCGGAGGAAAAGAAACCAACAGGGAUUGCCUCAGUAACGGCGAGUGAAGCGGCAACAGCUCAAAUUUGAAAUCUGGCCCCUUCGGGGUCCGAGUUGUAAUUUGUAGAGAGUGCUUCGGGGGAGACCGCGGUCUAAGUCCAUUGGAACAUGGCGUCAUAGAGGGUGAGAAUCCCGUAUGUGACCGUGGCUCGAACCCGUGUGAAGCCUCUUCGACGAGUCGAGUUGUUUGGGAAUGCAGCUCAAAAUGGGUGGUAAAUUUCAUCUAAAGCUAAAUACUGGCUGGAGACCGAUAGCGCACAAGUAGAGUGAUCGAAAGAUGAAAAGCACUUUGGAAAGAGAGUUAAAAAGUACGUGAAAUUGUUGAAAGGGAAGCGCUGGCAACCAGACCUGCCCGUAGGCGAUCAGCCGCUGUUCUCAGCGGUGCACUCGCUCUGCGAUCAGGCCAGCAUCGGUUCCGGCGGUCGGAUAAAGGCCUUGGGAAUGUAGCUGCCCUUCGGGGGAGUCUUAUAGCCCUCGGUGCAAUGCGGCCAGCCGGGACCGAGGACCGCGCUUCGGCUAGGAUGCUGGCGUAAUGGUUGUCAGCGACCCGUCUUGAAACACGGACCAAGGAGUCUAACAUCUAUGCGAGUGUUUGGGUGUCAAACCCAUGCGCGGAAUGAAAGUGAACGGAGGUGACAACCCUUAAGGGCGCAUCAUCGCCCGAUCCAGAUGUCUUCGGAUGGAUUUGAGUAUGAGCAUAGCUGUUGGGACCCGAAAGGUAAAACCCAACUGUCUCUCCUUUUAUAGAGUUCAAUGCUAAUGUAUUUUCCAGAUGGUGAACUAUGCCUGAAUAGGGUGAAGCCAGAGGAAACUCUGGUGGAGGCUCGCAGCGGUUCUGACGUGCAAAUCGAUCGUCAAAUUUGGGUAUAGGGGCGAAAGACUAAUCGAACCAUCUUUUUUACGCGCUACGUAGGUGGCUAAUCGAAGUCCUCCGCUCCGGCGGGGCGGCUUCCAGUCCUUCGGGGCGACAUCACUACCUGCAUGAACACCCCUCCGGGUGGACAUGCUGCAAGCCCCCCCGGCUCGCCCGGGGGUUCUUGUCCACAGACCAAAUAGUGGUGGCCGGGCGGGCCCUCCCUGGGNCCGCCUGGUUGAGAAAUGGCCGAGUCNNACUUCUGAUCGAGUCGGUUUCCACGCUAGUAGCUGGUUCCUGCCGAAGUUUCCCUCAGGAUAGCAGUAACGUUUUCAGUUUUAUGAGGUAAAGCGAAUGAUUAGAGGCCUUGGGGUUGAAACAACCUUAACCUAUUCUCAAACUUUAAAUAUGUAAGAAGUCCUUGUUGCUUAGUUGAACGUGGACAUUUGAAUGCACCGUUACUAGUGGGCCAUUUUUGGUAAGCAGAACUGGCGAUGCGGGAUGAACCGAACGCGAGGUUAAGGUGCCGGAAUGUACGCUCAUCAGACACCAAGAUUGGCUUUGUGGUGUCCAGCCCGGCCUAAUUCCGAUUUGACGGGCGCAGUCUUUGCCCAAAGGCGAGGUCUUUGAUUUGCAGGGGCCCGCUUACAUAGCUCACCCUUGGCCAUUUUAUAUGGCUCACAGAUCAGGCAAAGGCCGGCGGUCCCCCCGGGGGACCGCUUGAGAUAUGAUCGGCUUCCGGGCUCCAAGCCCGGGAACGAAGCGCAAAAGGUGUUGAUUCAUCUAGACAGCCGGACGGUGGCCAUGGAAGUCGGAACCCGCUAAGGAGUGUGUAACAACUCACCGGCCGAAUGAAUCAGCCCUGAAAAUGGAUGGCGCUCAAGCGUGCUACCCAUACCUCGCCGCCAGGGUAGAAACGAUGCCCUGGCGAGUAGGCAGGCGUGGGGGUCAGUGACGAAGCCUUGGGAGUGAUCCCGGGUCGAACGGCCCCUAGUGCAGAUCUUGGUGGUAGUA